rnacentral:rRNA from 1 species
CCAUGGAGCUUUAAACUCAAUAUACACCUCUACGCACCCAAAUCACUUUAGCCCAAGAGAUCUGUAUAUUGGUUUUGGGUUGGGGGGACCGCGGAGUAAAAAUUAACCUCCACGACAAACGGGCUUUACGCCCUUAUCCACGAACUACAGCUCUAAGAAUCAAUAAACUGAUGUUUAUGACCCGAUUAUUCGAUCAACGAACCAAGUUA